CGGGAUGUAGCGCAGUUGGCAGCGCACUACGUUCGGGACGUAGGGGUCGGGCGUUCGAGUCGCCUCAUCCCGACCA
rnacentral:tRNA from 1 species